rnacentral:rRNA from 1 species
UACGAAGGGAGCUAGCGUUGCUCGGAAUCACUGGGCGUAAAGCGCACGUAGGCGGACUCUUAAGUCGGUGGUGAAAUCCUGGAGCUCAACUCCAGAACUGCCUUCGAUACUGGGAGUCUCGAGUCCGGGAGAGGUGAGUGGAACUGCGAGUGUAGAGGUGAAAUUCGUAGAUAUUCGCAAGAACACCAGUGGCGAAGGCGGCUCACUGGCCCGGUACUGACGCUGAGGUGCGAAAGCGUGGGGAGCAAACAGG